GUGUGUGUGUGUGUGUGUGUGUGUGUGUGUGUGUGUGUGUGUGUGUGUGUGUAAGGUGUGUGUGUGUGUGUGUGUGUGUGUGUGUGUGUGUAAGGUGUGUGUGUGUGUAAGGUGUGUGUGUGUGUGUGUGUGUGUGUGUGUAAGGUGUGUGUGUGUGUGUGUGUGUAAGGUGUGUGUGUGUGUGUGUGUGUGUGUGUGUAAGGUGUGUGUGUGUGUGUGUAAGGUGUGUGUGUGUGUGUGUGUGUGUGUGUGUGUGUGUGUGUGUGUGUGUGUGUGUGUGUGUGUGUGUGUGUAUCUCAUCAGCCACAUCAGCCAUGCCCACACCAGUACUGCCCGUCAGUCUCAUCACCCACAGCAGCCAUGCAAUCCCAAUGUGC
ensembl:lncRNA